rnacentral:rRNA from 1 species
CAGCAGCCGCGGUAAUACCGGCGGCCCGAGUGGCGGCCACUAUUAUUGGGCCUAAAGCGUCCGUAGCCGGGCUGGUAAGUCCCCCGGGAAAUCUGGCGGCUUAACCGUCAGAAUUCCGGGGGAUACUGCCAGCCUAGGGACCGGGAGAGGCCGGGGGUAUUCCCGGGGUAGGGGUGAAAUCCUAUAAUCCCAGGAGGACCACCAGUAGCGAAGGCGCCCGGCUAGCACGCGCCCGACGGUGAGGGACGAAAGCUGGGGGAGCAAAGGGGAUUAGAUACCCCCGUAGUCCCAGCUGUAAACGAUGCAGGCUAGGUGUUAGGCGGGCUUCGUGCCCGCCUAGUGCCGUAGGGAAGCCGUUAAGCCUGCCGCCUGGGGAGUACGGCCGCAAGGCUGAAACUUAAAGGAAUUGGCGGG